GGCAAUCUCAGAAAUUUCUUUACACUUAGC
rnacentral:piRNA from 1 species